ACUGGACUGGAAGGACAGUUUAUCAGAGUGGUACAGACGGACAUGGACUCUUCAAGAUGAUCCUUGCAAAAAGUACUAUGAGGUCCUGGUGGUGAACCCCAUUUUGCUUGUGCCUCCAACAAAGGCUAUCACGGUCACCAUAACCAGUUUCAUCACGGACCCCUUGAAGCAAAUUGGAC